CGGGGUGUGGCGCAGCUUGGUAGCGCGCGUCGUUCGGGACGACGAGGCCGCAGGUUCAAAUCCUGUCACCCCGAC
rnacentral:tRNA from 7 species